UACGGGGGGGGCAAGCGUUGUUCGGAAUUACUGGGCGUAAAGCGCGCGUAGGCGGUUACUUAAGUCGGAUGUGAAAGCCCUCGGCUUAACUGAGGAAGUGCACCCGAAACUGAGUAGCUAGAGUACGAAAGAGGGUCGCGGAAUUCCCGGUGUAGAGGUGAAAUUCGUAGAUAUCGGGAGGAACACCGGUGGCGAAGGCGGCGACCUGGGUCGAGACUGACGCUGAGGCGCGAAAGCGUGGGGAGCAAACAGG
rnacentral:rRNA from 1 species